rnacentral:rRNA from 1 species
GACGAACGCUGGCGGCGUGCCUAAUACAUGCAAGUCGAACGCAGUGGGGACGGGUGAGUAACACGUGGGUAACCUCCCAUCAGAGGGGAUAACACUUGGAAACAGGUGCUAAACCGAUACUGAUGGAUGAACACGCGGGGCAUUAGCUAGUUGGUGAGGUAACGGCUCACCAAGGCCACGAUCCAUAGCCGGCCGGAGAGGGUGACCGGCCACACUGGGACUGAGACACGGCCCAGACUCCGACGGGAGGCAGCAGUGGGGAAUCUUGGGCAAUGGACGAAAGUCUGAUCGAGCCACGCCGCGUGAGUGAAGAAGGCCUUCGGAUCGUAAAGCACUGUUGGUAGAGAAGCGUUAUCUAACGAGAAAGCCACGGCUAACUACGUGCCAGCAGCCGCGGUAAUAC